rnacentral:lncRNA from 1 species
UAGUAUUUAUUAUUUGUGCUUUUAGCUUAUGCGUGUGUAUGAAGGUUUCUUUUGCUCCUCUCUCUCAAUUUCCUUUAGAAAGAGGGGCUGAGAGGGCCAUUAAUUUGUAGAUAUAGUCAGGUUGAAAAGGGAGAGCUUUUUGUACCCCUUACUGUUUCUCCAAACACUUGCCUUUGAAUUUACUUAAAUGUCAUUUUCAUUUCCAUCUCUCCUCCUUUCUUCUUUGUAGCCAUCAUGCUUUCAAGAAAAGUUCAA